rnacentral:tRNA from 1 species
GCCUGGGUAGCUCAGUCGGUUAAGUGUCCGACUUCAGCUCAGGUCAUGACCUUACCGUUUGUGGGUUCAAUCCCCAUGUCGGGCU